rnacentral:lncRNA from 1 species
GUUAUUUUAAGCAUAUUUAAUAUUUGAACUUUCAUUUUCUAUUUUCCCAGACCCCAGAAAACAGAAAGUUUUUAGAUGACCAAUAUUUUGUUCCAGAAACAUAGUCUUAUCAGCUAAUUCAUAAAAGAGCUAUUUUACAAAGGUACAUCUGGAUAAUUAGAACAAUAAAGUCUUUUAGGCAUUUCAAAAUGUGAUCAGUAAAAAUACAUGAUUAUUAAUAAAGUUUUUUUUUUAAAGAUAGUUCCAGAUUUUUUUAAAAGUAAUUUCUGUUAAAGAGUACAUGAUUGUAUGGUGAACAAGGAAAAUAAAAUGUUCUAGUAGGAAGAGGCUUAUUAAAAAUAACCAAUAGUGUGCACAUUACAGUUAUCACUUUUGCAGGACAUCUGCUUAGCCAUUGGCACCCGGAAAUGGCAGACAGGGCUUCCUUCUACGAGGUACAUUUUUUUUUUCUACCAAUUUAUUAUCAAAACCAUCAGUACCAGUGGGGAAGGUGUAAGGAACGAGGCAAAAGAAACUCCUUUCUUGAAGAAAGAACAAUUUUGCAGAUCACUGAAAAGGCGUGGACCUGUCAGAAGAAAACAUGGUUUAUCAAACAAAGACUUUAACAGUAGAGGCGAAAAAACUAGCCAGCAGAAAGAGGACUAGAAGGUCCUGCCAAUUUUCUAUCUUGAGGUCCUCUGUACACACUUCUCAGUGAUGCUCUCUGUGACACACAGGGAAGGAAAGAUUGACCAAAGUUCUAGUAGCUCAAAAUAACAUCAUAUACCACCUUCAGAGAAGACAGUUUCCAGUUUGAAAUAUAGAAGCUCCAGGUAAUACACCAAAUUUACCAGCAUCACCAAAAAAAAAAAAAAAAAAAAGAAAAGAAAAGAAAAAAAGAAAAAAGUAAGUAAAAGACAACUCAAUGGAAGCAUAAUUAUUUUCUUUAGCUUCUAAAAAGAAGGGGGGAAAAAAACUUUUCACAUUAGAUUUCCCCUCUCUCCUCCAAAAAAAACUUUUAUCUUGGGGCACCUGGCUGGCUCAGUCUGUAAAGCAUGUGACUCCUGAUCUUGAGGUUAUGAGUUUGAGCUCCUCGUUGGGUAUCGAGAUUACUUCAAAAGAAAAUCUUUACAAAAAAAUUAAAAUAAAGAGACACAUCCUAACAGUAGUCAGAAGUUGUUUUGGGGAAUGGGAAGCCAUAAAGGUAAUGAAAUGCACCUUCUUAUGGUACAAUAUAGUAAAUGGUUUCAGUUUAGGUCCUAAAAGCCGAGAGAACUCAAGCAGUCCAAGUCAGCUGAUUUUAAAGUAUGCAAAAUAUAUGGCUUCUAGGGCUGUAAUCAUGAUUUUAAAUUAUAGCACUUUGGGGGCUUGCUGAUUUGCCUUGAUUAACUCUGUUCUCUGAAAAGGAAGGAGACACUCCAAACGUAAUUUGCCACUUAAUAGCAAAGGAGCCAUUAGGCCCCCAGAAGAGAGCACAGGGUCACAGCAGGUCACUUCAGUGGCUAAAACCCAGCUCUCCUGCUCUGGGGAGGUUGCUUUGUUCACCACCCUUGGAUCCAGCUUCUCCUCCAGUUAACUAUGAGAAAACAGCUUUGAUGGGGAUCACUGUCACUCAAAACCCAGGGCGACUAUCUAAUUCCAUCAUCCUGAAAGGCAGAUAUGGUAUCAGAGCAGAGUGCAUGUGAUUCUAAAGGCCGGAAAGAAAAGGCGGGGCUGGGAAGGAGGAGGGGAGAAGUUAGGCUGGUAGGACAAAAAGAACACUCAAAAACUAGAAUCUUUUCAGACCUAAGACUUUGCUUUGGGGCUUCAUUUAAAAAUCCAGAUAUAAAUUUAUUUGGAGGUACUAGAGCUAUGGUCAAAGCAUUUUUCCAGUUAGCCCGGUUCCAAGGAGAGGUGAAAACUGUAGGAGAAGACAAGCAGAUCGUUGUUAAGGACAAGAUACUGGCGGAGCUGGAAGAGAAACCUAAACGUUCCUUAAACAAGGGCCGAAGAAUUACAUGAACUUACCCUGUGCUGUUUGAACUUAGGGUGAAAGUUCUAUUGUUUACCUUGCUCCUGAUUAAAUGCCCGCGGAUGAUGACGCUGGUGUCAGGGGGCCACAGGCGUAUCACCCUGUGAGUUGGGAGUGACUACCCCCUUUCCAGCCCCACCUAACCAUUCGGUUUCUACCUGCUUCUCUUACGAGAUACAGAAAGUCAAGUCCCAAGCUUGUCUUACUAGCUUCUGCUUCUGCUUCUAAAAUGUUUACACCCAAUUCUGAUUUCGUUCAUGCUGGGCCUGCAACUCAAAAUAUCAGUCUAAUUUAUAGAUGAGGUCCAACGAAUGGUCCAAGUUGGUCUACUUAAAAACACAGGUCAGACUUGAAAAGGCAGGAAAUAGGAAUGUGGACAGAGAUGAGCUUGUCAAGUCGUAGUGGUGUUUACAGGAGGAGUAGGGAAUCAUCAUUACUUGCGAUGAGAGUGCCGGGGAAGAGGAAAGUCACAUCCCGAUUACCCCCAGGGUUCAGAGGGCACUACUGAAAGGUGUGAGCAGUGGAGGAACACGCGUUGCGUAUUAACAGAACUGGAAGAUUUGACCAAUGAUUUCGUUUUAGUUGGCAAAAAUACUCCAAGACGUGUAUACCCGAUGCACAAGGAAAACCACAGAAAGCCAACGUAACUGACGGAGUUCUCCAGUUACGAUUCUGAAACAUCUGUCCCCUGCAGGGUGCUGCCCAUUCUACAAGUCACUCUAGAGCAGCCAGCCAGCAACCCCUUGCCCACAGUUUCCAGUGUAUGUUCUGGUCUGCAAUUUGUAAGGUCACGCACCAGUGUGGAGAAAGCUCCGGCAGCGAAGUCAGAGGAAGUGCUUCUGGAGCUGGUUUGAGCAGCCCUGCCUUCUCCACCACCUCUCUCUCCGCUCCACGCGUGGCUCUCCUUUUAACUCAAAGAGCCCUUUGGCACCAUCAGUGCAAAAUUAAUAUUCGAGUUAAACCUCCAGGUACUAAAAUUUUACUGGCCUUCUAUUCAGCAGUACCCGUGGCUAAUGAGAGCCAUGGUUCAACUCAGUAGUGAUUCCGUUAGAUAACCUUCCUAGACUCUUGCCCCCGCUCCCAACCCACC